ensembl:misc_RNA Metazoa_SRP Metazoan signal recognition particle RNA
GCCAGGUGUGGUGGUGCACACCUGUAGUCCCAGCUACUCAGGAGGCUGAGGUGGGAGGAUCGCUUGAGCCUGGGGAGGUUGAGGCUGCAGUGAGCCAUGAUAAUACCACUGUACUCCAGCCUGGGUGACACAGUGAGACCCUGUCUCAA